CAUGCAAGUCGAGCGGAGAGAAGUAGCUUGCUACUGAACUUAGCGGCGGACGGGUGAGUAAUACUUAGGAAUCUGGCUAUUAGUGGGGGACAACGUUUCGAAAGGGACGCUAAUACCGCAUACGCCCUACGGGGGAAAGCAGGGGAUCAGUAAUGACCUUGCGUUAAUAGAUGAGCCUAAGUUGGAUUAGCUAGUUGGUGGGGUAAAGGCCUACCAAGGCGACGAUCUGUAGCGGGUCUGAGAGGAUGAUCCGCCACACUGGGACUGAGACACGGCCCAGACUCCUACGGGAGGCAGCAGUGGGGAAUAUUGGACAAUGGGGGGAACCCUGAUCCAGCCAUGCCGCGUGUGUGAAGAAGGCCUUAUGGUUGUAAAGCACUUUAAGCGAGGAGGAGGCUCCUGGUAUUAAUACUAUCAGAGAGUGGACGUUACUCGCAGAAUAAGCACCGGCUAACUCUGUGCCAGCAGCCGCGGUAAUACAGAGGGUGCGAGCGUUAAUCGGAUUUACUGGGCGUAAAGCGUGCGUAGGCGGCUUCGUAAGUUGGAUGUGAAAUCCCCGAGCUUAACUUGGGAAUUGCAUUCAAAACUGUGAGGCUAGAGUAUGGGAGAGGAUGGUAGAAUUCCAGGUGUAGCGGUGAAAUGCGUAGAGAUCUGGAGGAAUACCGAUGGCGAAGGCAGCCAUCUGGCCUAAUACUGACGCUGAGGUACGAAAGCAUGGGGAGCAAACAGGAUUAGAUACCCUGGUAGUCCAUGCCGUAAACGAUGUCUACUAGCCGUUGGGGUCUUUGAGACUUUAGUGGCGCAGCUAACGCGAUAAGUAGACCGCCUGGGGAGUACGGUCGCAGACUAAAACUCAAAUGAAUUGACGGGGGCCCGCACAAGCGGUGGAGCAUGUGGUUUAAUUCGAUGCAACGCGAAGAACCUUACCUGGUCUUGACAUACAGAGAACGACUAGAGAUGGAUUGUGCCUUCGGGAUUCUA
rnacentral:rRNA from 1 species